CCUUCUUUUUUCCAGGAUGUGUUCUUGUGAUGAUUGUCUUGGAUAAUCACUGGAGUAAAUCCGAACUUGGCACAACAACACACCCUGUUUUGGUUCCUAAAAUGCUCAAAUUUCUGUUUUUGUCCUAUAACUAACCUCUCAUUCACUUCACCCGAGUUCUCGCCUUACUCUUCCUCCUCCUCGCUCUCUACUGUGCCACUGACCCAUUUAAGCACAGCGCCAUCUCCGAUUUCCCCGACUUUCAAUCUCACAACAUAAAUAUCUCCUAUUGGUCCGAAAUUCCAACCCAUAGAGACCGCUAGAAUUUGCUCCAAAAGUCAAAGAUUAAGUUUUUGAACCUGGUUCAGGGCCCUGAGAGUGUCACUUUUGAUUCUCUUGGCCGUGGACCUUACACUGGUGUCGCCGAUGGUAGAAUUCUCUUUUGGAAUGGCCACUCUUGGACUGAUUUCGCCUAUAUAUCGCCCAAUAGUUUGUAGAUAAGAUGUUUGUCGUUUUGUCUUGGAAAUUGGGUCCUGACUACUGAUGUCGGAGAAGGAAAGCGAAGUUUAAUUUCUGAGGAUACAGAUAGUGGUGUUGGUUUUGAGAUGCAUUUUAAGGUGUUCUAUUAUUAACAACUUCAAGCUCAGAUUUGGCAGAAGCUUACAUAUUCAUUAUGAAGCAAGUGGUGUUGAAAUUGGUUUCAUGAUGAUAGAACCAAGAAGUAGAUUACAAAGACAGUAUCUGUCCAUUCAGAAUUCAUUUAUUUUCAGGGAUUGAUUAAAUUCCAUAGAUUCCAAAGACAUGAAAUUGACAAUAACAGGGGACAUAAAUCUGUAAGUUAGUAAGCAAGUUGAGGAAGCAAUUUGUAAUGUAUUUUGAUCAGCAAUCUUUUCUUUUGUCUUCAAUUUCGAUUUUGAUUUUUUGGUAUGAUUCUUUUGGAUCUAGUUUCGCAUUAGGAGAUUCUUCGUUUGCCAAAGGUAAAUUACUGAAUUAGUUUAACUCUGUUUGCUCUGGAAUCAAUUUCUAUGCUUGUUUGUUCUGUCAUGUUUCUCUCUAAAGGUUUCUAUUGGGUUUGUAAUCCUCUAAAAUGUGGACCUAAAUUGAGAUAGUUCAGAUUCUAGAGAUGCCAAAUUCAAAGAAUGUGGAUCUUUGAAAUUCAUUGAGGUCUGAUUUACUUCAUCUCCAACAGUUUUUAAAGAACGAGCAAAGUGAUGCUCCUCAAAAGUAGGUGAGAACCAAACAUGAUAUAAGUGUUUGCUUCUCUAUUCUAGGUGUCUGGUUUAGAAUCACUUAUAUACUUGUUUGUUUGUACCACCACAUCAACACAUUGGAUGGAUUUACUUCAUCUCCAACAGUUUUUAAAGAGCAAGCAACAUGAGUCUCCUCAAGAGACUAUUCAAGCAUUGGAUGUUGUUCUCAGGGAUGCUCCAUCGAAAGUGGGUGAAGGAGAUUGCUUUGAUGUUGGUAGAAGUGGAGAAUUUGAGGUCUUUCUAAUAAUACUUUAUUGUCUUUCCCCAAUUCAGGCAUUUUGUUGACGGGAUGUAAUUGCAUGAAAUAUUUUUUGGCUAAUUCUUGCUCUUAAUAUUAUCAUACUACCCUGAAAAGUUCAUUCCUUUAUGAUUGAAAAAAUAAUUACUCAGCAUAUCAUCCUUGUUCUUGAUAUUAAGAUUUGUAUCUUUAUUAUAGCAAUGAAAAAAUAGUGUUGUGUUCUCA